rnacentral:piRNA from 1 species
UAGAUAUUCUAUUACUUGCGG